GAACGGAAAGGCCCUGCUUGCAGGGUACUCGAGUGGCGAACGGGUGAGUAACACGUGGGUGAUCUGCCCUGCACUUCGGGAUAAGCUUGGGAAACUGGGUCUAAUACCGGAUAGGAGCCAUCUUUAGUGUGGUGGUUGGAAAGUUUUUUCGGUGUAGGAUGAGCUCGCGGCCUAUCAGCUUGUUGGUGGGGUAAUGGCCUACCAAGGCGGCGACGGGUAGCCGGCCUGAGAGGGUGUACGGCCACAUUGGGACUGAGAUACGGCCCAGACUCCUACGGGAGGCAGCAGUGGGGAAUAUUGCACAAUGGGCGCAAGCCUGAUGCAGCGACGCCGCGUGGGGGAUGAAGGCCUUCGGGUUGUAAACUCCUUUCGCUAGGGACGAAGCUUUGUGUGACGGUACCUAGAUAAGAAGCACCGGCUAACUACGUGCCAGCAGCCGCGGUAAUACGUAGGGUGCGAGCGUUGUCCGGAAUUACUGGGCGUAAAGAGCUCGUAGGUGGUUUGUCGCGUCGUCUGUGAAAUUCUGGGGCUUAACUCCGGGCGUGCAGGCGAUACGGGCAUAACUUGAGUGCUGUAGGGGUAACUGGAAUUCCUGGUGUAGCGGUGAAAUGCGCAGAUAUCAGGAGGAACACCGAUGGCGAAGGCAGGUUACUGGGCAGUUACUGACG
rnacentral:rRNA from 1 species